rnacentral:rRNA from 1 species
GACGAACGCUGGCGGCGUGCUUAACACAUGCAAGUCGAACGGAAAGACCCUGCUUUUGUGGGGUGCUCGAGUGGCGAACGGGUGAGUAACACGUGAGUAACCUGCCCUUGACUUUGGGAUAACUUCAGGAAACUGGGGCUAAUACCGGAUAGGAGCUCCUGCUGCAUGGUGGGGGUUGGAAAGUUUCGGCGGUUGGGGAUGGACUCGCGGCUUAUCAGCUUGUUGGUGGGGUAGUGGCUUACCAAGGCUUUGACGGGUAGCCGGCCUGAGAGGGUGACCGGCCACAUUGGGACUGAGAUACGGCCCAGACUCCUACGGGAGGCAGCAGUGGGGAAUAUUGCACAAUGGGCGGAAGCCUGAUGCAGUAACGCCGCGUGCGGGAUGACGGCCUUCGGGUUGUAAACCGCUUUCGCCUGUGACGAAGCGUGAGUGACGGUAAUGGGUAAAGAAGCACCGGCUAACUACGU